ACACUCAGGACUGAACAGACUGCACAGUUUCUGUGACUGAGCCUCCAAAACACCUUCUUUGAAACCACUCAUGAUAGAAGGGCUUCAUAUUUGCAGCAGCACUACUACAGUUGGCAGGAAUGUUGCUGCAGGAAAACAUCCCUGGAGAUCACCAUCAUUGUCAGACUGACUGUGCCUCCUCUGUGCAGUGUCAAGAUCCUCCCUAAAUGAGUGUUCCUCAGCUAUCCUGCUUCUGUGCUGCUUGCCACACAUCAAACACUGGCCGGAUGACAGGGAGGAUCCACUCUGAAGUCACUGGACAUGAUGAGGAUCAUAUGGGACUUCAUAGUUUCACAGAAACAUUGUGGUCUGUGAUUACAGGUUUUAAAUGGACAUAAUGACUGCCUCUCUCUGAUCAACAGGCUAAAGGAUUGUUGUCAUUGUUAGUGCUCUGUACAAUGUAUGCUUAUUUAGUAUUUCAUCACAGAGCAAACCUUUUUUUCUUUAACAUAUUUUUAUUUUUUUAUUUGUGGGGAUAGGUUAAUUGAUUAA